UCCUGGCUCAGAUUGAACGCUGGCGGCAUGCCUUACACAUGCAAGUCGAACGGCAGCGGACCUUCGGGUGCCGGCGAGUGGCGAACGGGUGAGUAAUAUAUCGGAACGUACCUUCAGUGGGGAUAACGUAGCGAAAGUUACGCUAAUACCGCAUAUUCUGUGAGCAGGAAAGCAGGGGAUCGCAAGACCUUGCGCUGAUUGAGCGGCCGAUAUCAGAUUAGCUAGUUGGUGAGGUAAAGGCUCACCAAGGCGACGAUCUGUAGCGGGUCUGAGAGGAUGAUCCGCCACACUGGAACUGAGACACGGUCCAGACUCCUACGGGAGGCAGCAGUGGGGAAUUUUGGACAAUGGGCGCAAGCCUGAUCCAGCCAUGCCGCGUGAGUGAAGAAGGCCUUCGGGUUGUAAAGCUCUUUCGGCCGGGAAGAAAUCGCACAGGUUAAUACCCUGUGUGGAUGACGGUACCGGAAUAAGAAGCACCGGCUAACUACGUG
rnacentral:rRNA from 1 species